GAUGAACGCUGGCGGCGUGCCUAAUACAUGCAAGUCGAGCGAACAGACGAGGAGCUUGCUCCUCUGACGUUAGCGGCGGACGGGUGAGUAACACGUGGAUAACCUACCUAUAAGACUGGGAUAACUUCGGGAAACCGGAGCUAAUACCGGAUAAUAUAUUGAACCGCAUGGUUCAAUAGUGAAAGACGGUUUUGCUGUCACUUAUAGAUGGAUCCGCGCCGCAUUAGCUAGUUGGUAAGGUAACGGCUUACCAAGGCGACGAUGCGUAGCCGACCUGAGAGGGUGAUCGGCCACACUGGAACUGAGACACGGUCCAGACUCCUACGGGAGGCAGCAGUAGGGAAUCUUCCGCAAUGGGCGAAAGCCUGACGGAGCAACGACGCGUGAGUAAUGAAGGUCUUCGGAUCGUAAAACUCUGUUAUUAGGGAAGAACAAAUGUGUAAGUAACUAUGCACGUCUUGACGGUACCUAAUCAGAAAGCCACGGCUAACUACGUG
rnacentral:rRNA from 1 species